UUGGAGGGCAAGUCUGGUGCCAGCAGCCGCGGUAAUUCCAGCUCCAAUAGCGUAUAUUAAAGUUGUUGCAGUUAAAGAGCUCGUAGUUGAAUUUCGGGGUUAGUAGGUUGGUCAUGCCUCCGGUAUGUACUGGUCUCACUGAUUCCUCCUUCCUGAUGAACCGUAAUGCCAUUAAUUUGGUGUUGCGGGGAAUUUGGACUGUUACUUUGAAAAAAUUAGAGUGUUUAAAGCAAGCUAACGCUUGAAUACAUUAGCAUGGAAUAAUGAAAUAGGACGUUCGAUCCUAUUUUGUUGGUUUCUAGGAUUGACGUAAUGAUUAAUAGGGAUAGUUGGGGGCAUUAGUAUUCAAUUGUCAGAGGUGAAAUUCUUGGAUUUAUUGAAGACUAACUACUGCGAAAGCAUUUGCCAAGGAUGUUUUCAUUAAUCAAGAACGAAAGUUAGGGGAUCGAAGACGAUCAGAUACCGUCGUAGUCUUAACCAUAAACUAUGCCGACUAGGGAUCGGAUGAUGUUAAUUUUUUAAUGACUCAUUCGGCGCCUUACGGGAAACCAAAGUGUUUGGGUUC
rnacentral:rRNA from 1 species